rnacentral:rRNA from 2 species
GGACUACCCGGGUUUCUAAUCCUGUUUGCUCCCCACGCUUUCGCACCUGAACGUCAGUGUUAGACCAGGAAGCCGCUUUCGCCACUGAUGUUCCUCCAGAUAUCUACGCAUUUCACCGCUACACCUGGAAUUCCGCUUCCCUCUUCCACACUCUAGCCAUGCAGUUUCGAAUGCAGUUCCCAGGUUGAGCCCGGGGAUUUCACAUCCGACUUACAAAGCCGUCUACGUGCGCUUUACGCCCAGUAAUUCCGAUUAACGCUCGCACCCUCUGUAUUACCGCGGCUGCUGGCAC